CCUACGGGUGGCAGCAGUGGGGGAUAUUGCACAAUGGGGGAAACCCUGAUCCAGCGACGCCGCGUGAGUGAAGACGUAUUUCGGUAUGUUAAGCUCUAUCAGCAGGGAAGAAACUGACAGUACCUGACCAAGAAGCCCCGGCUGACGACGUGCCAGCAGCCGCGGUAAUACGUAGGGGGCAAGCGUUAUCCGGAUUUACUGGGUGGUAAGGGAGCGUAGGCGGUUAUGUAAGUCUGGAGGGAAAGGCCGGGGGCCAACCCCGGGACUGCCUUGGAAACUGUGUAACUGGAGUACAGGAGGGGCAGGCGGAAUGCCGGGUGUAGCGGUGAAAUGCGUAGAUAUCAGGAGGAACACCGGCGGCGAAGGCGGCCUGCUGGACUGAAACUGACGUUGAGGCUCGAAAGCGUGGGGAGCGAACAGGAUUAGAUACCCCAGUAGUC
rnacentral:rRNA from 1 species